rnacentral:rRNA from 1 species
CCUACGGGCGGCAGCAGUGGGGAAUAUUGGGCAAUGGGCGCAAGCCUGACCCAGCAACGCCGCGUGAAGGAAGAAGGCUUUCGGGUUGUAAACUUCUUUUCUCAGGGACGAAGAAAGUGACGGGACCUGAGGAAUAAGCCACGGCUAACUACGUGCCAGCAGCCGCGGUAAUACGGAGGAUGCGAGGUUAAUCCGGAUUUAUUGGGUUUAAAGGGUGCGCAGGCGGAGGUGCAAUUCAGCGGUCAAAUUGCGGGGCUCAACCCCGUACGGCUGUUGACACUGCAUUCCUUGAGUGCGCGAGAAGUAUGCGGAAUGCGUGUUGUAGCGGUGAAAUGCAUAGAUAUCACGCAGAACUCCGAUUGCGAAGGCAGCAUACCGGCGCGCAACUGACGCUCAUGCACGAAAGCGUGGGUAUCGAACAGGAUUAGAUACCCGGGUAGUC